rnacentral:rRNA from 1 species
GUAAAUGGAGCAAUCCGCUCGGGGAGUGGCCUAGGUCCUAUCAGCUAGUUGGUGAGGUAAUGGCUCACCAAGGCGAUGACGGGUAGGGAGUGUGAGAGCAUGAUUCCCAACGAUGGAACUGAGACACGGUCCAUACACCUACGGGUGGCUGCAGUCGAGAAUAUUCCACAAUGGGCGAAAGCCUGAUGGAGCGACGCCGCGUGCAGGAAGAAGGCCUUCGGGUUGUAAACUGCUUUUAACUGGGAGGAAGUCCCGCCCUUUUGGUGUGGAAAAAAUUUCUUUGCCAAAAGGGCGGGAUUGACGGUACCCGUUGAAUAAGACGCUGCAAACUUCGUGCCAGCAGCCGCGGUAAUACGAAGGCGUCAAGCGUUGUCCGGAUUUAUUGGGCGUAAAGGGUCUCCAGUCGGUUCGGUUAGUCGGGCGUUAAAUUCCACCGCCCAACGGUGGAGCCGCGUUCGAAACGGCCGAACUCGAGGUAUAAAGAGGCAAACGGAACGGUAGGUGUAGGGGUGAAAUCCGUUGAUAUCUACCGGAACACCAGAGGCGAAGGCGGUUUGCUGGUUAUAUCCUGACGAUCAUGAGACGAAAGCGUGGGGAGAGAAUGGGAUUGACUGCUUGCAUCGCUGCAAAAAUUUUCAGCGUUGCUGUGGACACUUUCACCGCGGGUGCUACGCAACACGAUUAAGAAAUAUUUUGACUCGACCACGGCCUUUCGGCCGUGGGACUCGGACAAAAAAUAUUUCUUGUGUUGUGCGGCACCCUUGGUUCAGUGUUUCUCACAGCACCGCAAUGAAAAUUUUUACAGGAUACUCGCUUUGAGGUUACUGAAGGUAGUUUCCUUCGGAAGCAUCUAGAGCGGACCGUAGGGGUACGGUGAGCCACUGGUCCCUCCGGCAAGAGUGCCGGAGAAAAACUCCGCUGUAUCGGGGAACAUCCGGUCUGUUGGUUCUUGGUAAUUUGGUAAUAUAGAAAGUCAAGAACUCAACGAAGAGCUGGACAAUCCCGAGGCAACCUGCGAAAGCAGAGAGUCCGUAGAGACUAUACGCGGAGAUCCGAGUAAUAUCGGAUGUGAGAUAGUCCGAACUGCAUGGCGACAUGCAGAGCACGGUAGAAAUACCCGUGCCAGUAGCAAAAUUCGAAAUUCAUAAUUCAAAAUUCUGAAUUCCAAUUUUGUUGCGCGCAACAACAUUGUAGAUACCCCAGUAUUCCACGCCCUAAACGAUGCGCACUCGCUGUGGGAAGUAUCGACCCUUUCCGUGGCUUAGCUAACGCGUUAAGUGCGCCGCCUGGGAAGUACGGCCGCAAGGCUAAAACUCAAAGGAAUAGACGGGA